CCUACGGGCGGCUGCAGUGGGGAAUAUUGGACAAUGGGCGAAAGCCUGAUCCAGCCAUGCCGCGUGUGUGAAGAAGGCCUUCGGGUUGUAAAGCACUUUCAGUGGGGAAGAAAGCCUUGGGGCUAAUACCCUCGAGGAAGGACAUCACCCACAGAAGAAGCACCGGCUAACUCCGUGCCAGCAGCCGCGGUAAUACGGAGGGUGCGAGCGUUAAUCGGAAUUACUGGGCGUAAAGCGCGCGUACGCGGUCUGAUAAGCCGGUUGUGAAAGCCCCGGGCUCAACCUGGGAACGGCAUCCGGAACUGUCAGGCUAGAGUGCAGGAGAGGAAGGUAGAAUUCCCGGUGUAGCGGUGAAAUGCGUAGAGAUCGGGAGGAAUACCAGUGGCGAAGGCGGCCUUCUGGACUGACACUGACGCUGAGGUGCGAAAGCGUGGGUAGCAAACAGGAUUAGAUACCCCAGUAGUC
rnacentral:rRNA from 1 species